AGGAUUACACAAAAACUACUGAAUGGAUUUCCAUCAAACUUGGACGGAGGAUGGGACCUAGCCAAGAAUAGUUACAUGAAGAAACAAGUGAUGGGGGGCGGAGUGGCUGAGACAGAGACACCAAUCGUCUUGUUAGAGGACAGUACUAUCAACAUGAUUUGAAGCAGUUAUUUUAAGGAAACGGUGCAUGGAUCCAGUGGCGGUUCUACAUGGGGGCCUACAGGGGGCAGUGCCCCUGUAAAAAUGUCCCUGGCCCCCGCUGUGGCCCCUCCUGAGCUGACUGAAUAAUAAAAUUAAAACAAAAAAAAUUGAUCGAGUUAUCAUGAUUUUACGCGCUAGCGCCAAAAGCAGAACUAGUGUGAUUCAGCAUUCCACAUGGACUAAUUAGAGCGACACAUCCAAACACUGCGUUGCCGGGUGCUAGAUGAGAAUGAGAACGGCAGCAACAAGUUUUGAAGAGAGGAGAUGCUAAUGUCUAAGUUGGGGCAAGAGGUGGAGGUAAGCAAAAUUAUUUCAUCUCGUAAAGUGAUUUGUUGCAUGUAACCGUGUUACUGUUGUUCUUCACUCAAACAUAGAGGGACAGAGAGGGGAACAGCAAGUGGAUCCAUGUGGAUCAAGUAAUGCACCAUUAGGUUUGUGAUGUAGAAAAGGUGUUCUUGUCCAGGCCAUUUGCAAAGCAGUGUCAUUACAAUUCAUCGUACAGUGUGUCCAUAAAAUGGUGCUUUCUGCCAUAAAUUCUUUUUUGUGUCAUUGAUUUGUGCAUCUUUGCACAGAUAUCAGCAAGUCCAAAAGCAAUGUAACAGUGCAGCCCAAGAUGAACAUAUUCCCAACCACUCUGAUGGAGGACAGGAGACGGAGCUUUAGGCCAAACUGGUAUGAGGGGGUCGGGGGUCCAUGCCCACCUUUUGCAGCAUUGUCCUUCGUAUUUAAUUUCUAUUUUUUGAUGGCCCUACCUCCUUGUUUCAAUCGAUGCACUCUUUAUGUACAAAAUAAACAUUUGUAUGAUUUUAAUGUAAAGCAAAAUUAGCAAAAUUCAAGUAUUUAAUGUAUAAACAAAAUCAUUUGUUUCUGUUUUUUAAUGUGC